rnacentral:tRNA from 1 species
GCAUUGGUGGUUCAGUGGUAGAAUUCUCGCCUGCCACGUCGGAGACCCGGGUCCGAUUCCCGGCCAACGCA